GCCUGGUGGUGCAGUGGGUAGCACUGUUGCCCCACAGCAAGAAGAGUCCUUGGUUUGAAUCCCGGCCUGGGCC
rnacentral:tRNA from 1 species